CAGGCAGUUUUAACAUGAGAACAGUGAGAAACUUCUUCCACUGAGGCUUUCUUACUUGAAGGAGGGACACAGAAAUUUGAAGAUAGUCACUGAGGAGGGGAAGAGAUCCAUUCCUGUGUUACGUAUGAGCUUGCACAAAACUUCCUAGGCUGAAGGUUGCAACUUAAGGAUUUAGAGGUUCCUCUGCAAGGAAACCCUGCUGCAUUUGCUGGAAAAAAUGGACAGAAGUGUAAGGUG